GACCCAGAGCCGGUAAUUCUUUAAAGGGGGCCCGGGCUUAGAAACCGUAUCAUAGCCGCGCCCCCUGUAAUGUGUCCGGCCCGGAACCACUGUCCCCCCGGUACCCCCCUAAUGGCGGCCCUGAGACGGAAAUACUUACCGAGUGGCAGUAAAGUCUAGUCCCUUAGUUCCCGGGGGGAACCGUUUGUUACGGGGUUGCCGGGGCCGUUCCAGAGCUGCUGCACAGAGACAGGACCUGAGCUUUCCAGGCAGCGGCGAGUCUGUGGCUGAGCGGGGAGGUUGAACAAAAAGAAAACUCACAAAAUCAACGCUGUAAGGUAAAAGGAGAGCUAUGCUUCUCUGUCAAGCUUUCUGACAUGUACAAAAUAGCAGCAAAGGAUGAUAGAGGGCAGUAUGUACAUUCUCUAUCUGUUCCCUUCACACAUAUCUGAGCCAGAUAAUAUCAUGCCGAACGGGCAGCCCCAAAGCAUUCUCUCAGCUCUGGCCAUGAAUUAUGAAUAUCCUCUGUAUUGCCUGUUUCAGCAAUGAUCAUAUUUCAUCACAUUAUAUUUGGCUUCCAUUUUUUGUGAGGAGCCAUUAGAAUGAGAAGGUUUUAUUUACAAUCUAAUAAACAAAUAAAAUAUUGUGAAAACAGA